CGACCUCAGAUCAGACGAGACGACCCGCUGAAUUUAA
rnacentral:rRNA from 10 species